GUGUAUGAUAUAUUUGAUUUUCGUGUAGUAGUGUUUGAAUUGACAUGAUGAUGUGGCAGGAUGAGUUACGUCAUCUUAUUGGUUGGUUGGAGUGUCGUUGGUAAACCAAUUGAGUGAUAAUAGCUGCCCUAUUUAAGGACCCUUAUUUUGACGGGUAGGUAUGUUUUCUGACUUGGGGUGCUUCUCUCUCUCUCUCCCCCUGGCAUUUCCGUUUCCGUUCCAUUUUCCAUUCAGUUUAAUUUAGAGCGGAGCUGGUGGCAUUUGGCAUUGCGGCAAGUUGUGGCGGAGUUCACUUGCAGGUAUGUUUUGAUACUUAACUUGCGACCAUUUAAGUUGUAUUAUUUAUAGCGUGUUGCUUUUAGUAAUAGCAGCAAGGGCAGGUGCGUAUGUGUGUGAAGGCUGAUCGCUGGACUGAGCUGCGGCACCGGUAGUGAGUAACCAUACAGCGUUGCGUCCAGUAUUCAACAUCAAUUGUUAAAGGGAAAGGGGAACAUUGAGUCCAGUUCUCGGCUAGUGAUUUCACGUGACGCAGCUGCUGUUUUGCUUACGGAUAUAUUUUGGUUUCGAUCGUGUCAUUGGACUGUAUACUGUUUUGCUGCCUUGCACGUCGCCGGGGCUGUUAAAGCGGGCUUCGGAUACGCGUCCGCAAGGCUGCCUAUCAGUUAAGCUUUUGGAUUUAAUUUUUCUUGUUUAAUUUGAUUGAUUUUGUUUGUCUCGUUUUCUGUUUAUUUUGGCUUUUUUUCUUUUUAUUUCAUUAUUGUAUUUUCUUUAUACAUUUCUUGUUUGUAUGUAUUGGGUUGUUUAUUUACUUAUUUUUGAUGCCUUGCUCCAGUGCCAUUCUGAUGUUGGCUAUUCGUUUGUAGGCCUAUGUGGUGUUUUCUGGAGGCCUGAGCAUUAGAACUGUUGCAGUAACUUUAUUAUUUUGGUGUUUGGCUUAUUUUUCAUUUAAUUGUUAUUUGUCUUAAUUGUUGGUUGUUUUUCUUUAAUGCUUUUUUUUUUUUCUUUCUCUCCAGGGCCAGUGAAGUCGUGUGUGUGUGGAACUGGGGAGGCUAGCUGCUCCAUUCUGCGGUGUUUCACAGUGUGCUGUGUGCUGAUACAAUUUCUUUUUGGAUGGUGUGUGUGUGUGGUGUUUGCUUGGUGUGGAUUGAGGUGGGUUUUGGAUGACCUCUUGAGUUGCAGCCGGCCUGCCUGGUUCCCACAAAUCCUGGCCCUGGAUAUUAUAUUUCUGUUAUUGUGGGUGUGUUUGCGAGAGAGUUUUAAUUAAUGUGAUUUUAUAAUAAAGUCUAUUUUGUAUGGUUACCCACGUCUCCCUUAAUUCCUUGCCUUCAGUUGGUAAAACUUACCUGUGUGUCUUGUAUUGGGAGUUAUUUCCCUGGCCUCCCACCAGGGUGGCGUAGUCGGAUAAAAUCUAAACAGUGACUAACAUCUUUCUCCAUUCGGUAUUGUCACAAUGAGAAUGCUGACAGUGGUUUGGUGUUUAUGUGUAGGGCGCCACUACCGCGUUUGUGUGCCCUAACACUAGUAAUAAUUGUAAAUUCAGAGACACUUUAUAUGACUUUACUGUAUUUUCUGUGAAGAUGUUCUUGUGAAAUCUUCGUUUUGAGUUUAUACACAGUUACAGUGGUGAAUUUGAGUAGUGUUAUCUGUGAUAUAAGUUGACUGAUCCUGAAUUAUCA